UACAGAGGAUGCAAGCGUUGUCCGGAAUCAUUGGGCGUAAAGCGCGUGUAGGCGGCUCGGUAAGUCUGCUGUGAAAGUCCAGGGCUCAACCCUGGGAUGCCGGUGGAUACUGUCGAGCUCGAGUCCGGAAGAGGCGAGUGGAAUUCCUGGUGUAGCGGUGAAAUGCGCAGAUAUCAGGAGGAACACCAAUGGCGAAGGCAGCUCGCUGGGACGUGACUGACGCUGAGACGCGAAAGCGUGGGGAGCAAACAGG
rnacentral:rRNA from 1 species